UACGGAGGGUGCAAGCGUUAUCCGGAUUCACUGGGUUUAAAGGGAGCGCAGGCGGGCUGGUAAGUCAGUGGUGAAAGCCUUGAGCUUAACUCGAGAACUGCCAUUGAUACUAUCAGUCUUGAAUAUUGUUGAGGUUUGCGGAAUGGGUCAUGUAGCGGUGAAAUGCAUAGAUAUGACCCGGAACACCUAUUGCGAAGGCAGCAGGCUAAACAAAGAUUGACGCUGAGGCUCGAAAAGCGUGGGGGAUCAAAACAGG
rnacentral:rRNA from 1 species